UACGAAGGGAGCUAGCGUUGUUCGGAAUCACUGGGCGUAAAGCGCACGUAGGCGGAUGUGUCAGUCAGGGGUGAAAUCCCGGAGCUCAACUUCGGAACUGCCUUUGAUACAGCACAUCUGGAGUCCGGAAGAGGUGGGUGGAAUUCCUAGUGUAGAGGUGAAAUUCGUAGAUAUCAGGAGAACACCGGUGGCGAAGGCGGCCAU
rnacentral:rRNA from 1 species